rnacentral:rRNA from 1 species
CAAAAACAUGUCUUUUUGUUUAUUAUUUAAGGUCUGACCUGCCCAAUGAUUUUUUGAAUGGCCGCAGUAUUUUGACUGUGCAAAGGUAGCAUAAUCAUUAGUUUCUUAAUUAGGAGCUUGUAUGAAUGGUUUAAUGAAAAAUUAACUGUCUCAGAUUGGUUGAUUUAGAACUUUAUUUUUGAGUGAAAAAGCUUAAAUUUUUUAUAAAGACGAGAAGACCCUAUAGAGUUUAAUAUUUUUGUUACUAAUAUUUUAAGGAUUUUUUAAAUUUUAGUUUUAAAGAGUAUUUUGUUGGGGUGAUGUUAAAAUUUAAUAAACUUUUAAUUUUUUUUUUCAUUUAUUUAUGUUUUAUUGAUCCUAUUUUUUAGAUUAUAAGAUAAAAUUACCUUAGGGAUAACAGCGUAAUUUUUUUGGAAAGUUCUUAUUGAUAAAAAAGUUUGCGACCUCGAUGUUGGAUUAAAAUUUAUUUUAGGUGUAAAAGCUUAAAUAUUAGGUCUGUUCGACCUUUAAAA